rnacentral:rRNA from 1 species
AGUGAACGCUGGCGGUAGGCCUAACACAUGCAAGUCGAACGGCAGCACAGUAAGAGCUUGCUCUUACGGGUGGCGAGUGGCGGACGGGUGAGGAAUACAUCGGAAUCUACUUUUUCGUGGGGGAUAACGUAGGGAAACUUACGCUAAUACCGCAUACGACGUACGGGUGAAAGCAGGGGAUCUUCGGACCUUGCGCGAUUGAAUGAGCCGAUGUCGGAUUAGCUAGUUGGGGGGGUAAAGGCCCACCAAGGCGACGAGCCGUAGCUGGUCUGAGAGGAUGAUCAGCCACACUGGAACGGAGACACGGUCCAGACUCCUACGGGAGGCAGCAGUGGGGAAUAUUGGACAAUGGGCGCAAGCCUGAUCCAGCCAUACCGCGUGGGUGAAGAAGGCCUUCGGGUUGUAAAGCCCUUUUGUUGGGAAAGAAAAGCAGCAGGUUAAUACCCCGCUGUUCUGACGGUACCCAAAGAAUAAGCACCGGCUAACUUCGUG